CAAGAGUUCGUCUUCUUACAAUUUUCAUUAAAAGGAUCCUUCUCUCCUUCCCUUCCCAGUAUAUAGGCCGCCACUCGAUCCUAGUGUAGAAAAUCGGCUCCCCCACUGCUUGCUUUCUCUUUAAUUAAGGUUUCAAGCUUUGUUCCUUGUUUAUUUUUCUCAGUGUUUUCUGUUUUCUUUUUCUUUUGGGUAAAGUUUAGUUUGCGUUUUCAAACUGCAUGCUAAGCCACUUUGUUGUAGUGAUAGGCAGGCGGAUCUCAUGGUUUCUUUCUAGUCUGCUGUGUGGGGAAGUUGAUCCAAAAUACUUUGUUAAAAUCUGGUAUUCUUAGAAUUUUUUGUUUUUGUUUUUGUUUUCUGGUCAGAUGUCUGAGAUCCCUCUACAUCUUCCUUAGCUUUUAACUUUUGUCCCGUAACUACUUGGGCUUUAUUGGUGCCUCCUUGUUCCUUCUUCUUCUUUUUUUGGCCAUAAACCGCUUCCCCGUUUCCAAUAUCAUCACUUCACUUGCGUCAUAUCUUAAAACUUGCAAACUGAUGUUGGUGGAUUGCGGCGCAAAUGGAUGGGCAAAACUCAACUCAUUAGUAGUACUCUCCUACCCAAACAACGAAACAUGGCAAGGUUGGCGAGGAGAGAUGGCAGGCCCAUACGAUACUUUGUAAACUGCUUGGUUGGUUGUGAUGAACACAGCCACGCAGGAACAAGCAAUUGUGAGCUGCAUAGUCAAAAAAAGGCUGCUGCACGUCACCAUUUCUUCAUUUUCUUUUUUAAGUGUUUUACAAAAACACAGAAGAGAGGAAAGAAUUUCACUCAAAUGAAUGGGCAAAGCUCAUCAUCAUGGCAGCAAAAAGUCUCAUAUCUAAACAACAUAUAUGCCCCACACUGCUCAAAUACCAUAGAAAAAUUUGCAAUUGCAUGGCAUUGUUUUGUGUCAAUAGAUGUGCACUAAAAUUUGUUUCGAACUUUUAUAUAAUAUAACCUGUUACCGAGAAAAUGGGGUGACAUUUACCGAGA